rnacentral:rRNA from 1 species
UACGGAGGGUGCUAGCGUUGUUCGGAAUCACUGGGCGUAAAGGGCGUGUAGGCGGUCUGUUAAGUCUGAUGUGAAAUCCCCUCGCUCAACGAGGGAACUGCGUCGGAUACUGGCAGACUCGAGUACCGGAGAGGAAGGUGGAAUUCCCGGUGUAGCGGUGAAAUGCGUAGAUAUCUGGAGGAACACCGGUGGCGAAGGCGGCAUCCUGGACCGACACUGACGCUGAGGAGCGAAAGCCAGGGGAGCAAACGGG